rnacentral:rRNA from 1 species
UACGUAGGGGACUAGCGUUGUUCGGAUUUACUGGGCGUAAAGCGCUCGUAGGCGGAUCACUAAGUCAGGGGUGAAAUCCCGAGGCUUAACCUCGGAACUGCCUUUGAUACUGGAGAUCUGGAGAUCGGGAGAGGUUGGUGGAAUUCCGAGUGUAGAGGUGAAAUUCGUAGAUAUUCGGAGGAACACCAGAAGCGAAGGCGGCCAACUGGCCCGAUACUGACGCUGAGGCGCGAAAGCGUGGGGAGCAAACAGG